CCUCUACAAGUGUGACAUCAGCGGUCAUGGAGAGUCUCCAUCCAGCUGGAUCACUGUCACAGACAAACACACCACCACAUCUGUUCUCUCUGUGCUGUUGUCUGUUGGAUCCGUCUGUGUAGUGCUUCUACUGGUGUUACUGGUUCUGCUGGUGAGACGGCAUGCUCAUAGGAAACCUGAAGCUGAAAAUCCUGAAGAAGUCCCAGAAAACCAAGUCACCUACACUGAGGUCAUUUUAUCAAAUUGUCAACAAAAAGCAGUCAAAUCAAAAAGAGAGAAUGAUCCAGCUGCACUCGAUGCAACACAAGAUGUCACUGCUGGGCAGAAAAUAAAAGACUUUAAACCAGAGCCAGACGUCGUCUACUCUUCAGUGAAGUAGUCCACCAGUCCAACCACUGACGUCCAGCUGCUGGUCCCUAACUGGUCCGUUCCUCCUCCCUCUCGUUCUCACUGAAUUAGACCUGCAUGCUCACAAUGUAUUUUUAACUUGAGUUUUCAAAUUUUAUCCUCUACUAAUAUGAUUUAUGUCCUUGACUGUUCUUAUGUUUAAUUUAUUCAUGUUUGAUGGCCUUUGUUCAUUCCAGGAUGUGCAUGUUUGAGACUAUGCUCUGUCGCCUCUGUCAGUGCGCCCCAGGGUGGCUGUGGCUACAAUGUAGCUUGCCAUCACCAGUGUGUGAAUGUGUGCGUGAAUGGGUGAAUGACUGGAUAUGUAAAGCGCUUUGGGGUCCUUAGGGACCAUAAAGGCGCUAUAUAAAUACAGGCCAUUUACCAUUUACUAUAGGAUUGGCAUUUUAUAUCAUCUAAAAACCAAAGAGGAAAGGGAUUCCAAAGGCAUUUGCGUCUCCUUCUGAGACUGAACUGGGAAUGUAUUUGUUAGUGAAUGAUGAAAACCAGGGGUGGGCCUCGAGGGCUGGUGUCCUGCAGGUUUUACAUGUGUCCUUGAUCCAACACAGCUGAUUUCAAUGGCUAAUUUACCUCCUCAACAUGUCUUGAAGUUCUCCAGAGGCCUGAACUGAUCAUUUGAUUUAGGUGUGUUGACCCAGGGCAAGGCUUGGAGUUUCCCACCCCUGCUGUAAACUACAACACAAUGAAGUCACUUAAAAAAAUAAAAAGCAAAACAUUAAGAAGAUCUAAUGUUCUCACCUCCUCAGCAAAGAGCUGAAAGGGUUUGGUGUCCGAUAAUUUACAUGUAUGAUCAGUCUGGCUGAUUCAUGUGUCCCAGCUCUUGGGUUAAACUACUCUAAAGCCUAACAUAGCCAAAACAUCCAUUUAGAGUCUGCAGCCAUCUACUGUUAAGUCCAAGUAUUACAGUUAUACAGAUGUAAUUUAAAGACAAAAUGUUUUCUUCUUUCACUUUAGAGAAAUAAACCAGGAACUGAGCAGGUCUGACUUGUUUGUUCUAGGGAUGGACCGAUCAGAUACAGUAUUGGUAUCAUUCAGAUCCUGACCUAAAUUACUUUAUUGGAUAUCGGGGAGAAAUAAAAAAUGUAACCCGAUCCAUUAAAUGUCACAAAAGCAUCUCACAAAACUUGCAACACAGCAUAACCGAGGUAGUGACCUUAGCAUGCGUCACACAGUAGAGUGGCUGUUGUGUAUGAGACCUGUCGGCAUUGUAGAGUUGCUUCACACUGAAAGCACCUGCAGCCAAACCGGCAUUUAAUCUCUGAGCAAGCUACCCCAGAGAAGUAAAGCAAGUAAGUUCAUUUUUGAAUGCAAAGCGAUCUUACAUUAAGUUUAACAACCGAUUUAUGGAGCUUGGACGUCUGUGUGUUGUAAUUGCUAAGUCUGACCAUACAAAAGAUAGACUUAAGUUUUACUUUAAAAAACAAACCGAACUUUGACACUUGUGUUAAGGUUUGACAUAAAAUUCAGUGUCAGGUUAAAUGUGAUAGAAACAGCUUACUGACAUCCAUCUUGAUAACAGAUGAGUGUCAUGAAGCCAUGUUGCUUUCAUUUGCACUUAUUUCCACUCUGGAUGUCUAUUUACAUUUAGCUUUAAGUAUGAAAGAGUCCAUUUUAAGUUGUGGAAUAUAAAGAUCAUUUUGUCCUGAUAUUGCACUUCUUUUUUCAGAACAAAAGAGCUUUUGAAAUCUGCAUAAGAUUGCAUUUUAAAUUAUUUUUGAAUAUUACUUUGUACUUAGAUUUAAAGUUUUGCUAAAUGUUUAAAUAAAAAAAAAUCAGCGUUGAACCGUGAAAUAUUUUGGGUGGCGUGUAUUCUUUGCAUGCAAGUAUAAUAGAAUAGCUUGGUCUUUUAAAGUGUUUGGUCUUUUGAGUAUUUGAGUAAUUUGAGUAUGACCUAAUACAAAAUGCAACAAGAUAUAUAUAAAAAACAGCUUUAUAAAUUUUAAAAUAAACUAUAUAGGCAGAUGUCAAAAUUUAUGAUUUCAGUAUCAGUCUAUAGUCUAUCUAUCUAUCUAUGUAUCUAUACACACACACAUACACACACACACACACACACACAUACAUACAUACACACACACACACACACACACACACACACACACACACGUGUAUAUAUAUAUAUAUAUAUAUGUAUAUAUUACAUUUUUCUUUUACAUAAACCAAAUUCCUGAAUGACAUAAAAGGCUCAAGACUGUCCUUUCCAGGCAAGCAGGGAUCAAUGUCUACUCACAGUUCUUUAGCAACGCACACAACUGCAAGGUGGCUCUUGCUAUAUGUUGCUCAACCUCUGUGCUCUGGACCAUGUACUCAAUAGUGUAACUGCGUUUUCCCACCACAAGAGGGCUCAUGCACUGUCGACAGCCUUUCCAUCAGAAAUAUUAAACACAUUUUAAAUAUUUUCUCUGUGCUGUUGAAAUAUGUUGUUCUUUGGUUCAUAUUAGAAGUAUUACUGCCCAGUCAUGAGUACAGUCAUGUUUAUUCCACUGACUAUUUCAUGAUUAACCUGAAUACAAGUAAAUAAAAGUGAAUAAAUAAAAUAAAAUAUACAAGUAAAUAAAAGUGAAUACAAGUAAAGUGAAAGUAAAGGAAUCUUCAUCCACAGUUAUAUACAAUGCAGAUAUUUAUAAAGCUCAUACAUCUGAAUCAUUGUGUUCCAGUCAGUAGAUUAUGUCUGCACAGCUGUCAUUGUCAUUGUCCACUUAACCUCAUGGUGGCAGUGUUGUUACAAUGAAACAUGAAUAUUUAGCUCUCCACAGAACACUUAACGUUUCCUUUAACGUCAGAGUUUGAUGGUUUUCACAGUGAAAUUAUUUAAAUCUGAUUCAAACCCUGUUCAUUAAAGUUAGAUAUUAGAAUCAGAUAUACAUAAAUAAAGGAAAAGUUUAAUGUUUAUUUAUUUUUCAUUUGUCUUUGAGUUUCAGCGUAGUCUCUAUGAUCCACCACGGGGUGCAUUUCAGCAUCUUUCUUCCCACAGCUCUGAAU